ACGAACGCUGGCGGCGUGCUUAACACAUGCAAGUCGAACGGGCCUUGUCCCCUUUUUUUUGGGGGUGGGGUUAGUGGCGAACGGGUGAGUAACACGUGAGUAACCUGCCCCUCACUUCUGGAUAACCGCUUGAAAGGGUGGCUAAUACGGGGUGUUCUGGCCUGCUCGCAUGGGUGGGUUUGGAAAGAUUCGACCGGUUUUGGUUGUUUUGGUGGGGGAUGGGCUCGCGGCCUAUCAGCUUGUUGGUGGGGUGAUGGCCUGCCAAGGCUUUGACGGGUAGCCGGCCUGAGAGGGUGGGCGGUCACACUGGGACUGAGACACGGCCCAGACUCCUACGGGAGGCAGCAGUGGGGAAUAUUGCACAAUGGGCGCAAGCCUGAUGCAGCGACGCCGCGUGAGGGAUGGAGGCCUUCGGGUUGGGAACCUCUUUCGCCAGUGAAGAAGGUCCUGCUCUUUGUGGUGGGGUUGACGGUAGCUGGGUUAAUGAAGCGCCGGCUAACUACGUG
rnacentral:rRNA from 1 species